CAAAAACCGAGAAAUUUUAUCUCGAUUCUGAUCUUGUCUCGGACUAUCAUUGUUUUUGUUACAAAGCAUCUUGCUUUCCCCCCACCUUAUCCAACCAAUAUAUAAAGAUGAGUUUACUCCAAUGCAUCUGCUUCAUGGCUGUUUUCUCGACAUUAGGCUAUGUAGUUGCGGGGAAUAUGGAAGCGGCCAGCUUUUGCUUUGACCUCCUCCUGAGAUCAGACAUAGGGUACUAUCAGUUCUGUGAGAAACAUGGCUACAUGUGUGAGAUUCUUUGUUGAGAACAAGCGCGCUGGAUCCCUUACUUCCAGUGCAUAUAUCUUGUGAAUAGAAAUACCUAUUCUUAUUAUACGAAAAUAAAAGAAAAAAACAACAA